rnacentral:rRNA from 1 species
AUUGAACGCUGGCGGCAUGCCUUACACAUGCAAGUCGAACGGUAACAGGUCUUCGGAUGCUGACGAGUGGCGAACGGGUGAGUAAUACAUCGGAACGUGCCCAGUCGUGGGGGAUAACUACUCGAAAGAGUGGCUAAUACCGCAUACGAUCUGAGGAUGAAAGCGGGGGACCUUCGGGCCUCGCGCGAUUGGAGCGGCCGAUGGCAGAUUAGGUAGUUGGUGGGAUAAAAGCUUACCAAGCCGACGAUCUGUAGCUGGUCUGAGAGGACGACCAGCCACACUGGGACUGAGACACGGCCCAGACUCCUACGGGAGGCAGCAGUGGGGAAUUUUGGACAAUGGGCGAAAGCCUGAUCCAGCAAUGCCGCGUGCAGGAUGAAGGCCUUCGGGUUGUAAACUGCUUUUGUACGGAACGAAAAAGCUUCCCCUAAUACGGGAGGCCCAUGACGGUACCGUAAGAAUAAGCACCGGCUAACUACGUGCCAGCAGCCGCAGUAAAAC